AGCGAACGCUGGCGGCAGGCCUAACACAUGCAAGUCGAACGGAUCCUUCGGGAUUAGUGGCGGACGGGUGAGUAACACGUGGGAACGUGCCCUUUGGUUCGGAACAACUCAGGGAAACUUGAGCUAAUACCGGAUGUUCCCUUCGGGGGAAAGAUUUAUCGCCAUUGGAGCGGCCCGCGUAGGAUUAGCUAGUUGGUGGGGUAAAGGCCCACCAAGGCUACGAUCCUUAGCUGGUCUGAGAGGAUGAUCAGCCACAUUGGGACUGAGACACGGCCCAAACUCCUACGGGAGGCAGCAGUGGGGAAUCUUGCGCAAUGGGCGAAAGCCUGACGCAGCCAUGCCGCGUGAAUGAUGAAGGUCUUAGGAUUGUAAAAUUCUUUCACCGGGGACGAUAAUGACGGUACCCGGAGAAGAAGCCCCGGCUAACUUCGUGCCAGCCGCCGCGGUAA
rnacentral:rRNA from 1 species